rnacentral:rRNA from 1 species
AUUGAACGCUGGCGGCAGGCCUAACACAUGCAAGUCGAGCGGUAGCAGGAAGCAGCUUGCUGCUUUGCUGACGAGUGGCGGACGGGUGAGUAAUGUCUGGGAAACUGCCUGAUGGAGGGGGAUAACUACUGGAAACGGUAGCUAAUACCGCAUAACGUCGCAAGACCAAAGAGGGGGACCUUAGGGCCUCUUGCCAUCGGAUGUGCCCAGAUGGGAUUAGCUAGUAGGUGGGGUAACGGCUCACCUAGGCGACGAUCCCUAGCUGGUCUGAGAGGAUGACCAGCCACACUGGAACUGAGACACGGUCCAGACUCCUACGGGAGGCAGCAGUGGGGAAUAUUGCACAAUGGGCGCAAGCCUGAUGCAGCCAUGCCGCGUGUAUGAAGAAGGCCCUCGGGUUGUAAAGUACUUUCAGCGGGGAGGAAGGGAGUAAAGUUAAUACCUUUGCUCAUUGACGUUACCCGCAGAAGAAGCACCGGCUAACUCCGUG